rnacentral:rRNA from 1 species
AUUGAACGCUGGCGGCAGGCCUAACACAUGCAAGUCGAGCGAGAAAGGUCUUCGGGCUGAGUACAGCGGCGGACGGGUGAGUAACGCGUAGGAAUCUACCUGGUAGUGGGGGACAACAUGGUGAAAACCAUGCUAAUACCGCAUACGCCCUAUGGGGGAAAGCGGGGGACCUUCGGGCCUCGCGCUAUCAGAUGAGCCUGCGUAGGAUUAGCUUGUUGGUGAGGUAAAGGCUCACCAAGGCGACGAUCCUUAGCUGGUCUGAGAGGAUGAUCAGCCACACUGGAACUGAGACACGGUCCAGACUCCUACGGGAGGCAGCAGUGGGGAAUAUUGCGCAAUGGGCGAAAGCCUGACGCAGCCAUGCCGCGUGUGUGAAGAAGGCCCUUGGGUUGUAAAGCACUUUCAAUUGGGAAGAAAGGUUGCGUGUUAAUAGCACGUAGCUGUGACGUUACCUUUAGAAGAAGCACCGGCUAACUCCGUGCCAGCA